rnacentral:rRNA from 1 species
UACGAAGGGGGCUAGCGUUGCUCGGAAUCACUGGGCGUAAAGCGCACGUAGGCGGAUUGUUAAGUCAGGGGUGAAAUCCUGGAGCUCAACUCCAGAACUGCCUUUGAUACUGGCGAUCUUGAGUCCGGGAGAGGUGAGUGGAACUGCGAGUGUAGAGGUGAAAUUCGUAGAUAUUCGCAAGAACACCAGUGGCGAAGGCGGCUCACUGGCCAGUUUCUGACGCUGUAGCGCGAAAGCGUGGGGAUCAAACAGG